UCUAAUGUCAUAGUGCACUCUCCAAAAGGGAAAUAGAAUGUGUGACACUCGGGUCUCUAUCUCUCGACCAGUGAAACAAUAAGAGCGUAAUCUAUGUUAUAAUUUGGAAUGUUGGUAGCGUACAACAUUCUUUCUCUAAUCAAUUCACUACAGGAGAGGCGGAGCCUAGCGGCGGCUAAAUAGCGGCCCUGACCAAAAUCGCCGCGAAUUAGAAAGAUCCUGGCAGAAGUAAGCGGCGGUCUGGCAGAAGCUGUAAAACGCCCCCUGGAUAGCGGCUGUGCAAUCAGAACCACUGCAAAAUUGGGGGUAUAUAUCUUCAAGCUUCCUUAUUUUACCCUAUCCUCUUGGCGCGAAUAAUAGCGGGAGCAGAGGCGCGAAAUUUCCCCCACACUCCCUGUGCCGCAACAUCCCUGGCGACUACCCCCAGAAACGCCACUAGUUCUCGCAAGUUGAGCCUGAUAGUACACCAAUCAAGAGCGGGAGCAGAGGCGUGAAACCUUGAACUCACCCAGAAACCCCAAUUUUUCAAGCCUUUGCGUCUCAACCACAAUCCCCAAAACCCAGACCUCCCUCAUUCAUGGUGUGCAAAAUCCCUGACCUCUGCUCCACUCUGGGCCUCUGUGUGGGUGGUCGAGUCGUGCAGCUGCCAUCUGUGCUUCUCUCACUGGUCUUGAAGUUGAGCAUCUCCUCGAUCGUGCGUGAAACCGGUUUUGUUCCUUCUUUGUCUUUUCAUUUUUUGGACUUGGGAUCAGCAAUUCUUUCUACCAAUAAUUUUUUAGAAAGCACAGAAUUUUGACAAUGAAGAAAUUGGAGAGCAGAGACUUCUUUCCCAUUACUAGAAGCCGUUAGUUCGCAGAGAAGAUGAUAGCUGAGUCUCCAUUCUCUUUCUUGGACCACGUAACGUCCUUUGCAAGACAGUUGUGGUUUAAAGAGUCUCGCAUACAAUCAUGAUUGGAUGCCUUCUUUGGACAAAGUCACCUCUAUCGAGCCAUAGCUCAUGCGCCGGGAUCAAUGAUGAGAGUUUGUUUGCUGCUGGGAUCAAUUUAUUUUUGUACUCCAUUUUCUUAUUCGUGGAAAGCAACCAUAUUCAUGUGAUAAUUCUAAAACUUUAGAAAAUGCUUCAUUGGGACCGAAAGUACCGGGCUAAAUUUGGGUUUGAGUUUGUAACAAGUACGGAGACGUGGUUCUCACAGAAGAUACUUGACGAGGUGAAGGCACGAUAUGAAAAUACUCUUGUUGUUAAACUGGAUAUUGCAGCACAAGAGGAAUUUAAACUCAUAGAACACGGACUUGAACAUAUAUGGGAACGUAAGAAAGACAACUUUACUUGUUGUUGAUGUAAUAUGAUUAUGUUCAUACACUAAUUCUUGAAAUUCUACGCCUAUUUUGUGCUAUGAUGUACCUCUCAAGGUUAUCUCGAUCCCAGAUUCAGGAGGCAUCCCAAGCUAUUGGAGAGGUGGUUCCGGAUUCAUUGGAAAAAGAGGACGACGUCCCCUCCGGUGGCUCUGAAGAAGCUGAUUCUGCUGGACAAAAUGCCUCGAUGCUGUCGUAUGACCUCAAUAAAACGCCGAAAGAGAAUGAUUAUCCUUAUAGUGGAAUGUCUCCUGAUAAGAAAAAUACCUGGCACAUAGCUAUGUGGGAGACUAGAUACUUGAAUCCUUGAGGAUAUUGCAAUAGUUUAAUUGAAGAAUUAGGAUUUAGAUUUAUAGGAUGCCCAAGACUUGUUUUUUGAAGUUGUCGUGACUUUAUAAUUCUUCAGAUUGUUAUUAGGGAUCGUUAGUAUGCUGCAUUGAAAGUCCUUGGUCUACUGCUUUACAUAUUUCUGCACUUUAUUGAAAGACUAUCGCAAGAUUCUGAUCAUUAAGCAAUUUUUGGCA